CACGUUCGGAUUGCAGGCUGAAACCCGACCCUGUAUGAAGUUGGAAUCGCUAGUAAUCGCGGAUCAGCAUGCCGCGGUGAAUACGUUCCCGGGCCUUGUACACACCGCCCGUCACACCAUGAGAGUCGGGAACACCCGAAGUCCGUAGCCUAACCGCAAGGGGGCGCGGCCGAAGGUGGGUUCGAUAAUUGGGGUGAAGUCGUAACAAGGUAAC
rnacentral:rRNA from 1 species